GGGGAAUAUUGGACAAUGGGCGCAAGCCUGAUCCAGCCAUGCCGCGUGGGUGAAGAAGGCCUUCGGGUUGUAAAGCCCUUUUGUCCGGAAAGAAAAGCAUCGGGUUAAUACCUCGAUGUUCUGACGGUACCGGAAGAAUAAGCACCGGCUAACUUCGUGCCAGCAGCCGCGGUAAUACGAAGGGUGCAAGCGUUACUCGGAAUUACUGGGCGUAAAGCGUGCGUAGGUGGUUCGUUAAGUCUGAUGUGAAAGCCCUGGGCUCAACCUGGGAAUUGCAUUGGAUACUGGCGGGCUAGAGUGCGGUAGAGGAUGGCGGAAUUCCCGGUGUAGCAGUGAAAUGCGUAGAGAUCGGGAGGAACAUCUGUGGCGAAGGCGGCCAUCUGGACCAGCACUGACACUGAGGCACGAAAGCGUGGGGAGCAAAC
rnacentral:rRNA from 1 species